UUGUUAGCUGACAUAUUUUUAUUCUAUGAUAUAUAUUUGUACUUAAACUAUUGAUUUAAUCAAUAAAGGAUAAGUUUUUAUUUUUAUUCAAGUAUUAUGUGUCCUUAAAUCAUCCUUGAAAUUAAUGUUAUGAUACUAUUCUCAAGUGUUGAGAAUUAGAAGCAUGUAUGAUCAAUUUCUAAAUUACUCUCAAUCAUAAGAUAGUCAUAAGGAUCAGUGAUCCAUCCAGAUAGAUCGGUGCAUAGUUCGCUUCCUUUAGGAUAGAUGAGUCUUUAGUCUACAGUGUAGAGACACUGAGUGAAAAGUAUGGAUAAUUGUUAAAGAACAACUUGUACUGAGCGUGACCAUACGAGAGAUCAUAUAGAUUUCUAUUCGAUCGUCGGUGAUUAUCUCAAUGCUGUAGUUGUGUGACUGAUCUUUUAAUCUACAAUGUCACAGUUGCUUACAAUAAGACUGCUGUAGUUUGACUACAUAUAAAUAUUAACUCGAUCAUGAGUUUUUGUAGUGGAUGUUGGCUUCAGUUGGUUGAGCUGUGCGAGCAACGUGUGCAUCUAUAUGAAAUCUAUCGAUCUUGAUAGAGAGGAGUAGUCUUAUGAGAUUUGAAAAGCUGAGUCCAUAAGUUUAUGGUCAUAGUAGUGUGAUUAAUGAAAAAAAAUUUCUGUUUGAAAAUACUUAUUGGACUUGAGCUAAUCACAUUUAUCAUAUGACUAAUGAUGAGGUUUGAUGAUUUAUCCAUGACCUACCAUCUAGCCAAGACUCACAAU
rnacentral:lncRNA from 1 species